UGGCCUCUGCUUGCUCACUGACCUAGCCGAUCACAGAAUUAAUAAAACCCUAGCCUGAACCUUCUAGUUAAUGGCAAGCUUUCGUGAUCGAGAUGCUGAGGGAUAACCAAAUAGAUAAGUACCAUUGAGCUUGGAGGCCACUUGUUCGCGUAUCAGUAGUGAUAAAUUUUGAUAGUGAGGCCGUCACUAUCAUUUUUGUAGCAAUCAACCACACCACUUGCCAUUUAGCAUAUGCCAGUGCUAAAGAUGCAGGUUCUGAUGUUUGGGUUAUAUUUUAUAAAUGGAGUGCCCUUUAAGCAGACGGCAUGCGUUGAUAUUUUGCUGAGAAGUUCUAUGCAUUUUCAACUUCCAAUUAGAGUAAUCACUUUCAGAUCGAACAAACGACUUGUGUUCUAGUAAAUGUAAAUUCCUCUCCAAGUUCCAGAGAUAUCUCUGAUUGUGGGGAUUCUAAGUUCCAGACAAGGCAGGAUCUGAGGGCGCACAACAUCCUUGGUGCACUGAGGUGCACUGAAGGCACGAAGUACCAUUUUUGGCAAUUUAAUGUUCCCUGCAUCCAAACAAAAAGGUCCAGCUGCUUGUAGCUCUACAAGAUUCUUUUUUGCUCUGUUCUGUUUCUCUCUGUAAGUAGAUUGAGGGUUAUUUACUCCUCUUAAGAGGAACUGUGUGAAUAAUUGCUUCCCAUGUAAAAUCACACCUGCACUUUGACCAAUGUAAUCAAAUGGGAGCAAACAGCAUUGAUGAAAUACAGCAACAUUUUUCUUUGAGAGUUU